CAGGAUAAGAUGAAACAGAUAAACAUGACGGCAAGAAAUUUGUCAUUCAUCAACAGGAACGGCUGUCACGUUGGCGGAUCUCAGAGAAGUCGGUGUUUUUCUGCUGCAUAAGACUUCAGAGGGAGAAGACGUGUCAGUCAGAGCAGUCGCUGUGAUGUACUUCCAUGGUGAUGCCUUCCUUUGGUGAGCAUGAUUGUCUGAACUGUCGUAGAAAACAGUAGGACUGCCGGCUGCCCCUGAUCUCAGCCAGCCUGAACUGUCUGCACUGGGAGUAGAGGAAGCUGAUUGCUGAUUUGGGGCUUUGUUGUGCUUGGUUUUAGAUCUGUAGCUCCACUUCCUAUGAAGUAUUUCCCUCCCUUGUGAAGAAGAUUAACUCAGUUUAGUUUUCUAUUUUAAGAAUAGCAGUGAUGCUACACAUUGCAUACGACAUACUCCAAGUAAUUAAAAAAAAAAAUGGUAUCUUUCUGAGUUUGUGGUUGCUUUCCCUGAAUGUGUGAGCAUUUCCUUGGAGAUGCUUUAUUUACAGAAGCAUGAUCUGGCACAGAAGUUAUUUACAUGCCCUGCUGCUGUUGAAUGGGGUUAAAUGGAUUAUAGUUAAGUACCCUUGCAGACUGAUGAUGCAGCCUGGCAGUGGUUCAAGAUUUUAAUUUGUGCCAGACCGGGGGUGGAAGUCUGUUUUUGUAUUUGUAUGUGCAUUUAUUUAACCCAACUCUCCCCGUUGAUUGUGACUGCCUCGGUUAUAAUUUAUUCUCUUAACAGCUCAGCUCAUUGUUUCUUGCCAGUAAAGUGCAACAUGUGCAUGGACUGCUGGGUGGUGAUCUUGCUACCCUUUAGCUGCAACUUGAUGCAAGUGCUUGGCCAGCUAAAAGUCUACAGAUGCUUAUUUUGAAACUUUUUUUUUUUUUAAAUACACGCUAUGCCUUAAAGGGAUAUUUCAGCGUAAAAUUAAGUUAGGGUCAAACACACCGUAACACCAAAUUAGACACCCCCUCGAGAGAUGAAUGUUGCCGACCGCUUGCUUCUCUAGUUAUACCAACUUUAGUAACGACCGCAGGAUAGUAAUACACAGUGAUCUGAGGAGCCAUAAACAAACCUGAACUAAAACGCCACUCUAUAGCCACAAAUAAUGUUCAGAAGAGCACCUAACUUAAUCAACAGUAUAUAUAGGGUCCCAGCCAUAGUACUAGCCACCAAACAUCUUUGUAACGUUGCCUAAUUUCUUUAGCAAAGAGACUAAAUUGAACCCACCUACUCUCUUCCAGCAGCCGCUUGUUUGUAGCGAGACCUCAGGCCAGUCCAUUACAGACUACAGCGAGGUGACACAGCUCAAGGAAGAACAUUUAUGAUCAUUUUGUCAUGGAAAUGCAAUCAGACCGAGAGGCUAAGACAGAAGAACUACCGCAUCUGCAAAGUGAUUAAAUAUGGUGAUUAUUACUUCAACGAAAUGAUAGACAUUAUCAUAAAUGUUCUUCCUUGAGCUGCGUCACCCCGCUGUAGUCUGUAAUGGACUGGCCUGAGAUCCUGCUACAAACAAGCGGCUGCUGGAAGAGAGUAGGUGAGUUGUGUUUAGUCUCUUUGUUAAAGAACCUUGUCAAAGUUAAAAAGAUGUUGGAUGUCUAGUGCUGUGGCUGGGACCCUAUAUGUCCUGUUGAUGAAGUUAGGUGCUGUUCUGAGCAUUAUUUGUGGCUAUAGAGUGGUGUUUUGGUUGAGGUUUGUUUAUGGCUCCUCAGACUGCUGUGUAUUGCUAUCGUGCGGUCGUUACUACAGUUGGUAUAACUAGAGAAGCAAGCGGUCGGCAACAUUCAUCUCUCGAGGGGGUGCCUAACUCAGUGUUACGGUGUGUUUGACUCUGAAUUAAUUUUAUGCCAGAAUAUCCCUUUAAUUUACAAAUAGAUGCCAGUCUGACUUGAUGGGUUUGUCAGGCUCUAACACCUCCUGUAACUUGGCUGAGCCACACAGAGAGUUGAUAAAUAUUCAUCUGACAGAUAACAUGGGUCUAUUUUUAGUGACUGGACUGAAUUUCCUAAUCACCUCCAGGACUCCUGUAUGAAUAAUGAAUGGCGUCUUGUCAUUAAUAUAAUACCAGAAAACCAAACCGGUCUGAGAAGCCAAAACAUGUCAGUGGCAUUUCAAUGUCCCUGAAACAGACCACACUGAGGGCGGACCAGGGUUUUUGUUAUGAAGCAGUUUGUGACCUCGUGCAGCCGUAAACAGCUCCUAUCCGAGCUAAAGGAGGUGGUGAAUGAGGAGGUGAAGCUGCUGACUGUCUGAUGGAGAUAAGAGGAAAUGGCUGUGGCUGAAGGGCCCCAUCCUUCAGCCUGUCACACCUCGCAGUGCCCAUAUUAAUCAGCCUCAAUAACUCAGGAUCUGAUCUCAAACCGCCACUUCAGGAAACAAGAGGAGAGGACUUAUCGACAUCUCAGCAUCCUGCUAUCUCAAACAAUAACAACACAGAUAUGUGUGACAUACGGGGACCCUUUUUACAGUGAAGUAGGGAGAUUAUAAUGUAGAUAACAUCCUAUGUAAGCUAGGAAGUCUUUGCCAACAGUUUUAUAACUAAGUAUGAGAAUGUUUUAUUUCUUUAGGUUGAGGUUUGUUUAUGGCUCUUCAGACUGCUGUGGAUUGCUAUCGUACACCUUAUGUUAAAGGCAUGGUUGACGAUCUAAAAAGCAGUUAGAUCCACGAUAACUCCCCCCUGAAUCUGUAUCACACUCCCCAAGACACACCUCCUCUGGCAGAGCAAGAAGGCAGAAGAUCCUACACUAGCUUCAAAUAGGAUUCACUAAGUCGGAUUGCUAGUGACUAGCGGCACUAAACGGCAGCUCUGCUAGCGAGCAGCGGCUGCAGCUGCCUGGACAGCUACCAUGUUGACAUUGCAGAGACUAAUAAGAGUUAUUUAUGUGACGUGUUACGAUAAAAGGCUAAAAUGACCUGUUCAACAAAAACUCUGGUGUCUCGGCAUCUGUUUUCAGGGCAAAUCCUAGCAGAGCUUUCUCCACCGCUUGAAGGAUGACCCGAUAUUAUUCGAAUUUGAUUCCUCACUUGGUCACAUUUCCUCUUCGACUCUACCCUUUCUUCUGUCGGCUUGUGUUUUCUUCCCACUUUUGGCGGUAGGGCAAGCAGAAGUGUUUUUUUUUUGUUGUUGUUGUUUUUUUUGCAUCCUUCUCCAUCACAGCUCCUGUAGCUAAGCUGCUAUGCUACUUUUAGCCGCUCAGAGAGGGCUGGGAGAGUGGGAGGGGACGAGUUGGAACUACGGGAGAGGGGUGUGUCGAAUACAGCGAGGUGAUUGGAUGGAGAUUGACGGAUAGGAGCUGUCUGGGACAGAUGGCUCCCAUUGGUCAAUGUUGGUCAGCCCUGCAUCUACUAGGGUGAACGGAUGUUUUCCUUUCUUUUUUUCUCUUCACUUUGUGGAGAUCGCACUAUAGGACCAUGAUCACCAUAGAAACGAGGUUCAUAAUAAUAACCAAUCUCUCCAAUGGUCAAUUAUGCCUUUAAAAUGGGGAACAGCGUUAUGAGGCCAUCGCUGUUAUCAAGAUGAAAGGUGGAGGUUGAUAAAAAUGUGCAUCGUAACCGGACAUGACUUUGCCGUGAGAUAAAGCAGCUUCCUAUUUGUGGCAAAACCUGAACUAAAUCAUGAUAUUAGUCAGGACUGGUUUGGUCAAAUUAAUGAAAUAUUUGUGUGCAACAAAUUAUCUUUGGCUCUGUUUGGAGGGCUCCAGCCCCUCCAUGUGCACACAUGGAAAGUCAAGACAAGGAGAGCAGCAGCAAAGACCCAACAGAACAACAGACAAGCAGCUGAUGUGUCCCUAACUUCGUAUUUGUCAAGCCAAUAUAAGUAAUAAGUAGCCUUCAGUGUGAAAUCUGUAUUUGACGGAUACAUGCAGUAGAAAAACAUGAAGUGAGUUUGGACACGGAUUCAGGGUUUCAAUCUGAGUCCAUACAAUCAGUAUUAAAUAAACAAAUAAUACAGAAAAACAGCCUCUACUAUACAUUCAUGGAAGUCUCCAACACCAACAGGGUUAGUCUUUUUGUUCCCAUUCACACCUGAGGCAGUCACCUGGAGACCUUGGCGUUUUGCACAACACAAACCAAGGCUCCACCGGUGUCGCACAGUGAAUAAUUACAGAGCCGUGACUCCUGCAGAGACAAAAUAACAUAUUGAGAAGAACACAUCACGGCUUCAACGCAGACCCUGAACGGAGAGAAAGUAAAUACAAAUGUAGAAAAAAAAGAAAAAAACUGUGUAGUUCAAAUAAUCACAAGUAAAACGAUUGCAUUUGUGUGACUUCAUUUGAGACGUAGUUAUGGUGAACUUUUCAACUUUGACUAAAUGAUUUCCUUUUUAAUUAAUACAGAUUGACUUCAUGAAUUCACAAAUGGAAAAACAUGUAUUUGGAUAUUAAUUAAUUACUCAAUAACUUAUUUUGCAUCCUGUCAUUCAAUAAAUAAAAUCAUCAAUGCAAGAGCUAAAUAAUUUCAAAUGAAUGACUGAGUGUCUAUAUUCAUUAUAACUAUUUAUUCAGGGUUCAAUCAAUCGUCACCACAACAGCUGCUUCUUCUGCUUCCACAGGUGUUUCCUGUCGUCUGUAUAUUCAUUUAAACUCCAGAUUCUUUCUUCAUCCUCCUUUCAGAGAUUUUAGAUUGUUUUAUUUUCAUGCAAAUUUCAACGGUUUCCAGAUAGUCUGCGAAAGAAAGUGCGAUUUGAAGCGGGUUUCUAUCUGCUGCUGUUAUGCAAAUUAAGGGUGUUGUUCCGUCAACGGUAUGAUGUUUGAGUGCCAUACAGGCAGAUGGCCCUGUUAACUGGUGACUUUAAGUCUGUUACUAUGACAACCACAUAUCAUAUCUGUUGGUAUGUUUACAUAUUGUUCAAAAAAUCUAUUCAUACAACUGCAAAUGGAUUUGUAAAAUGCAUGCAGACACGUUAGUGCGACUGAAAACACAGAAAAUCAAACUUCUCAUAAGUGAGCCAACAAAUGUAGAUAACCCUCUACUGAUUUUGUGACUGCUUAUCGAUCAGUGAGCUGUAAAACGACAACAGUUAAUAAGAUUAUCAACAUUUGAAUGACUUACGACCUGGAGCGCUGCCAUCAAGAUGUUACAGUUUGGUCUUUUUUGUUGAAUUUAUUCCAAAAGACGUUUUCUUUGUUGCGUCUGCACACCUUUCCAGAGACACGUUUUGAGUUCGUAAGCCUGUAGAUGAUCAGGCCACUUCUUACCAGAUGAUUUUUACUGGUGAGAACAGUUUUGGAUUCUUGUAUGAAUGAAGUUGAAGGGUUGAAAACACCCCUCACUUUUAAAUAUGCAUGAAUCUAACCUUACUUUUGUUUGUCCCAGUUUAAUUUUGAAUUGGAUUCGAGAUAGAUGCCCCGAAAGGGAAAAUCAGCACACAUAGAUGCUAAAAUACGACUGUGUUAAUUUUUUUGUUGCUUUACAUGUUUAGCAUUUUUUGCCUGACCUGGAAACUUUAACAUUUUAUCAUUUUUAAUUGCUGAGUCUUCUGUUAAUCCUCACCUUUUUUAUAUGUUGAUGUUAAAGCUCUGACAUGUUGAUCGUACUACACAUACCAGAGGCUUUUUUAAAAAUCUAUCACAUUAGCUCAUGACUAAAGAGGCAAAGCGCUCAAACGCCGUCCUCCCCCGUAAGGCGCCGCCUGUGUUUCAGUUACAACCUUGAGAUGAGAGCGUACGGGCCCUCGGGGAGCUACUGGAGGAGGGGUCGUUAUCAUUUUUGGCAGUCCUCCCAUGUAAACCCAAAGGCCCUCCUCCAUAUUCAUCAGAGGUGAUUAUGUGCUGACCUCCGCCUGCCGUUAAUCCUGAGCUGAUGUAUACCCAGCAGGCAGGCAUCAUGAAGGGGGGGGAGGCGGCAAAACCUGACACUGCACCCAAUUAGGUGUCUUGGAGGUGAGAAGGAGUGAAAAAGAAAUACUGCAUUCACAUCCAAGACCUCAUUAGGAAUGUUUUAUUAUGAAGGCCAUGAUGGAUUUUACUUCUGUGCCAUUAAUUCUGAUAAGGGUUAAACUGGGAACCAUAAUUUAGUUCUGACAAAAGUGAAAGUAGAGCAUGCACAUUUAAAAACAGGUACUGCAGCGGAUAGAUGGCGCCUUAUCGGUGAGAUACAUGAGCAAAAAGUUUGAAAACAGAGAUGAAAGUUCUGUUUUUGUUGAAACAACGGCAAUAGUAUUGGAGUAAAUGAUGAACACAUAGAUCUUUGAGGGUGAAAAUAAGGCUCUUAAAUAACAAGAUGAAGUUAAUAUUCCAAAAUAGUCAGAGUGGACUUUGACAUUUUUCUAUCCAGGAGAGAAAAGUACAUUUAAGCCCCAGUAUAAAGUCACAAAAUCAGAGGAAGGCCUUGGAAGAGUUUAGGUUUACAAUAAAAGCAAAGAAAUUUUACGAACAUGGACAGACUUGUUUGACUGGAGUGUCUUUUCUUUCACCCGGCAUUUUGGUAUUCAACCUUUUUUAACCAUGUAUGGCUGAGGGGCACUCUAUGGUUGUGGGCGGCUCUUUCACUCAGACUAGAUUUAACUCGAAGGUCCAGGGACUGAAUUGCCAACCUCUUCUUUAAAGUGUGUUCAACAACCAUGAACCAUUUGCAAAAAAGUUGACCUGGACUUUGUGACGACUGACUAAUUAAUAAGACUUCAAACUUCCAUCGUGCUUUCAGAGUUUAUAUUUUCGGCUAGAGAAUAACAAGCACAGUUAAGCUGAGUUAUGAAGAAAGCUUGAUCGGGUUAUUCAAUCAGACGACUGUCCUUAUCUGGGUAAUUUUCCCCUCUUUUAUCUAGUUUAGAUCAGGCUUUCUUAAAAUUGAUCUAAUAUGUCAAGAAAAGACAAAUAGGUUGUAGGUUGAAUGGUGGGAACAUGGAGAAUUUAGCAGCUCACCACCACAGUUUGGUUUUGUUUACCUCUUCUUCUUUUGUUGAGGUUUUGUUAACUUCCCGGUUGGACUGUCAAUUUUUCAGAAAGUCAACUUUGAAUAAUUAUUUAACAUGACAAGCGAAUGUUCAGACGUAUUUGAAUUUUGCAGUCUUGACAGUCUUGUCUUUUUUUGCUGUCUAACUUCACUGUUUUAGUUCGGGUCGAACUUCAGGCGGCCUGAUGUAUUGGUAAACUGUAUUAUUAUUAUUAUUAUUAUUAUUAUUAGUAUCAUUAUUAUUAUUAUUAUUAUUUAAGGGUUAAAUGAUGAUUGACUUACAUUUGGAGCCAGCCUCAAGUGGCUGCUAGAGGAACUGCACUUUCUGGCACUUUGGCUUGACUUCAUUCACAAGUCUUCAAACUUUAAAAACUCGGGGGAAAGUUUGGCAGAAGUUUUCUCACACUCUUUCUUUCAUCUCACUGACACAGUGGGAUUAUUUUUAUCUUAGCUUAGCAUAUCAGUGUCGUCUAUACAUGUUUUCUGCAAACAGAAUUCCUGCACAAAGCUUGUUAAAUGAUUCUCAGCCAGCUCUUCACUUUUCACACGGUGUUAAAAUUUGAAAAUUGAAUAAAUUGAAUGAAUUCAGUCAUCAGUCAAUACUUCCCUGCAUGUCUAUUUCUGUUGUCAGCUGACAAUGAUCCACAGAAGCUGGCGACAAUUUGCUGCUAUAACUGUGACAACUGUCUCCACUAUCAUCACAAUGCUGACAAAAUCCGAUUGCAGGAGCCGUGGUGUUCGUCAUGUCUCUUCUCGGAGUGUCAUGCCGUGGUUUUUGUUCUUCUUAUCCGGAGGAGGGAAAGCAGUGCAGCUUCUCGCUCCUCACGCUGAUUAUAGGACAUCAUGUCUGCGUCACAUUUGAGGGGGAAAUGACACAUUUAUAGAUGCUGUGUGAAUAUAGCUCAGAGAGACACACAGAUAGAGUUCCUAUAGAGGAGCAGAGGAAAAAAGAGGGGAUGGUUGGGAGGUAAACAGAUGUGUUGGUUUUCAUAUCGCUGCUGGAUCAGGCCUCUGCUGUUUGGACCAGCCACAUUAAUAAGAACGCUAACACACUGCGGGCUGUAAAGAUCCAAAUUUGGAGCCAAACUUCAGAGUUUCACCAGCAGGGAGGAAUCGUUCUGUGUCAAAUUAACAGCGCCAUAAUUCAUGCUGACAAUGUCAAUUAUGGGUAUGUUUACUGUCCUAGCAUGGAAUAAGUGGUGUAACCGUGGAAAGUACAGUUUCAAUGUGCAUUGCAAAUGUUAAUCAGGCUGUCACUCAAAAUGCAAAAACAGGUUGGUUUACCACCAGUGGCAGAGAGACGGGCUAAGUAAAGUCCUCCUAAAGCCCGUUAUUACAUAAACGGCAGAUGUAAAGCUGCUGUAUGGACUGUCUGUCAAACUAAAGCUGCUGUAAAUGUCAACUGCAAAUGAAACAAUGUGUGUCCACUCAUGGAGAGACACCAGUGGGCUAGUUCAUAGUUGCACAUAUCCUCCUGAUUUCAGUCUUAGUCUAUAUUUAUUUAUACUAAAAAAAAACCCACCAAGACAUAACAAACAAGUUACUUACUUCACAGUUUCAGGAUUUUUAUCAGAGCUAUUGACCACAGAUAAAAGCUAAAUAACUAAAAUUACAAUACACAAUGAUUUGAUAUUUACCCACUGAGCAAUAGACGGCUAUUAGACGUCUCGUUUUUUUUUUAGACCUAAUUUCAACCGUCUAGCUUCCUUUAUAUUUUUAGACGGAAUUUAGACGUUGCACUUUCACCCAUUAUUUGACAACUAUUUAUUUCAAAAAACAACUGUGAGUUUUAUAACUGAUCUCCUAGUACUUUACCAAGAUAAUUAUGAUAGCCAUUGAGCAAUAUACAGUGUAAUACAGAUAUAGCCCAGAUUUAGACUUGGUCGAAACUUGGUCUAAAUUUAGACGUCUAAAAAACUUUCAUUUUUAGACCAGUCGACUAGACUACAUUAAGACGUCUAUUAGACCUUUUUUUAGACCAGAAAAUGCUCAGUGGGUAUUGUGAUAAUCGCUAAUCCAAAAUCAAUCGACAAUGACUUGUUUGAAGAUUUUAUUGUUGUAACGUUUUAUGCUAAAUCACCCAGCCCUACUUUUGCCCCCAUGGCAUACCUCCAUGGCAUCCACCUGCAGGCUCUAACUUUGAGGUUGAUCUCAUAAUUCCUCUAUUUCUGCACAAUGAACUAAAACAGCCAUUCUGCUGCUGCAUUAAACAUCUCAAAUCAUUUCAGACACAGCAGAGCCCUCUGAGUGAACAAAAGGGAAAUCCAUACGCUUCAUGUUUUGGCUGUUUUUUGAGGGUACAGAGGAUUUCACCAUGGAUGUGACGAAUAAGUGGAACAUACACUGAUUGAACAGCUGUUAAGCCAUUUUUUUUUGUUGACUGAUUUUCCCGUGGGAAGGGAAUGACGUCGCACAGCCUUUGAUUGAGAGUAUCACAAGAGAGUAUCUUGACUCGAGUUUCAGGUCCCCAUUUAAACCUAACCAACAAAAUAAUUCCCAUAAUUCUUUGCUUUCCACUGGUUUGAAUUUGAAGUCUUCUUCACACCGUAUUUUCAUACACUAUAAUUUCAGAAUCAUACAGUUUCAUGCAGAUUUAAACCCUCCAUCUCCAGGGAUUGACCUUCCAAUGCAUGAUAAAGGUUAAGGUAAUUAAAGCUUAGCAAAGUUUUCCAUUUACCAACUGUGACAGUUAGAACCAGCCUCUUCCCACCCCUCUCCAGCCUUUGACACCAGCACCGGGAAUAAAUUGCCAGUUUGAAGACACCAAACAACUCAAUUAAAACUGCCCGACUCCAUCAGCAUCGAGAAAAGAAUUCAAUCUGCUGAUUUUUUUAGCUGGCAGAUCCCGUCUGGUGUGUAGAUGUGCAUUCCUUCUUUGAGUCCAGUGGUUAAAUACCUGUCGGGUUCAAUCGGUGAGCUGGGACAGGUUACAAAAGCAGGGCAGGUCUAACCUGUAGGGGGCAGAACUUCUCAUUUGAGCAUACUUCAUCUAUAUAUUAAGUCAGUGGUUGUAUGGCAAUGUAUUUUAAUAUGGUCAAAUAUCUACUGUCUUUUACGUGGUGGUAUUACGAUAAAGGGUUUUAUUUAUAAGACUACUGAAAGACUACUAGUAAAUUACAUCUGUUUCAAGACUUCCUUUGAUGUCAUUUUAAGAAAUACUUGUAAUAAUUUCAGCCAGUGAUAGUUUUAAGAGUAAGUUUGGAUAAUACAUUACCUAUGUGAUCAUAAUGGUUUGUUUUGCAGUUUUUAUUCAUCAAGUGGUGAGUCUCAGAUGAGACCAGCAAAAAUUGCCACAGCUGACUAUGUUUCAAGUCAUCCAGGCGGGGUAUUGGGUUAAGUUUUCAACCAGCAAUGAUCACGUCUCAGUAGACCUUCAUGGACUAUGAUAUUGCCUCUGCGCAAGCAUGCCAUGAAAAGCUGAAAGCAACAGGGUGAGCUGGUCCAACACUCACCUCACUAAUGGUGACUUUGUGAGACCAUGCUACUGUCAGAGCCUUUUCCAGACAAAAACACAAAUUUGUUGUGUAUUGUUUGACCAGAAAGCCUGCCAUCAACAUUUAACAGCAGUGGCAGACACUUGUCCUGAUUUGUAAGUGAUAAGAAACCCAAACAGUUUAAUGAAGUGGAAUAGCUAGAGAUUAAGAAGAUUAUAAACCUGACUUGGUCAAGCAACGCUCUUGUUAGCCAGGCAUCUGACCUAACAGGUAUUGUGUGGAAAAAGGAAAGUCCAACGUACAUUUAAUUGGCUGGAUUUCCACAGACUUUGGCGUUUGGAUUUCCUCCAAGCUGCAAGUCUGGGUUUUGAGGCGGAAUACCAGCGCCUUCAGAUCAUCCCGUUUAAAAGGUUCUCCAUGAUUUGAAGGGAGCUUUUCUGUAUCUGGAAGGCUGUCCUCACUAGGAUUGACUGCCUGAAAAGGAGGUAUCAGUUGAAAUUAUUUUGGGAUCUCCAAGAAUGAAGAGUGCUGUCUGAUUGAAAAAGUGAUGGUCCUAAGGUGCUUCUGUUUUCUAUUUUACCAGGUGAUGAGUCUCAAUUGAGACCAGCAAAAAUUGCCACAGCUGACUAUGUUUCAAGUCAUCCAGGCGGGGUAUUGGGUUAAGUUUUCAACCAGCAAUGAUCACGUCUCAGUAGACCUUCAUGGACUAUGAUAUUGCCUCUGCGCAAGCAUGCCAUGGGAAGGCAAGAGAGACCUGCUCAAGCUGGUCCAACACUCACCUCACAAAUGGUGACUUUGGAAAAGGCUCUGACAGCAGCAUGGUCUCACAGACAACAACACAAAUUUGUUGUGUACUGUUUGACUGAAAAGCAUGCCAUCAACAUUUAACAGCAGUGGCAGACUCUUGUCCUGAUUUGUAAGUGGUAAGAAAUACAAUCAGUUUAAUUGAGUUGAAUAGCUAGAGAUUAUGAAGAUUAUAAAGCUGACUUGGUCAAGCAACGCUCUUGUUAGCCAGGCAUCUGACCUGACAGGUAUUGUCUACGCAAAGUAAAGUCCAGCGUACAUUUAAUUGGCUCGAUUUCCGCAGACUUUGAAGUUUGUAUUUCCUUCAAGCUGCAAGUAUUGGUUUGAAACGGAAAUACCAGCGCCUUCAGAUCAUUCUGUUUAAAAGGUUUCCCAUGAUGUGCUCAUGGGGGUGCCUUUUCUGUAUCUGGAAGGCUGUCCUCACUAGGAUUGACUGCGUGAAAAGGAGGUAUCAGUUGAAUUUAUUUCAGGAUUUCCAGAAAUGGAGAGUUCUGUUACCUGCUGAUAAAAGCGAUGGUCCGAAGGUGCUUCUGUCUUCUAUUUUGCCAGGUGAUGAGUCUCAGAUGAGACUAGCAAAAAUUGCCACAGCUGACUAUGUUUCAAGUCAUCCAGGCGGGGUAUAGGGUUAAGUUUUCAACCAGCAAUGAUCACGUCUCAGUAGACCUUCAUGGACUAUGAUAUUGCCUCUGCGCAAGCAUGCCAUGAAAAGCUGAAAGCAACAAUCUGACCUGGUCCAACACUCACCUCACUAAUGGUGACUUUGUGAGACCAUGCUGCUGUCAGAGCCUUUUCCAGACAACAACACAAAUUUGUUGUGUAUUGUUUGACUGAAAAGCAUGCCAUCAACAUUUAACAGCAGUGGCAGACUCUUGUCCUGAUUUGUAAGUGAUAAGAAAUACAAUCAGUUUAAUGAAGUGGAAUAGCUAGAGAUUAUGAAGAUUAUAAAGAUGACUUGGUCAAGUGACGCUCUUGUUAGCCAGGCAUCUGACCUGACAGGUACUGUGUGGAGAAAGGAAAGUCCAGCGUACAUUUAAUUGGCUGGAUUUCCACAGACUUUGGAGUUUGGAUUUCCUCCAAGCUGCAAGUCUGGGUUUGGAACUGAAAUACCAGCGCCUUGGGAUCAUUCCAUAUAAAAGGUUCCCCAUGAUGUGCUCAUGAGGGUGCCUUUUCUGUAUCAGGAAGGCUGUUCUCACUAGAAUUGAACUGCUUGAUAACGAAGUAUCAGUUGAAAUGAAUUAGGGGUCUGCAGGAAUGCAGAGUUAAAUUUUCUCAACAAACAGUUGUUAAUCCGAGGGUUCUUCUGUUUUUUCUAUUUUACCGGGUGAUGAGUCUCAAAUGAGACCAGCAAAAAAUUGCCACAGCUGACUAUGUUUCAAGUCAUCCAGGCGGGGUAUUGGGUUAAGUUUUCAACCAGCAAUGAUCACGUCUCAGUAGACCUUCAUGGACUAUGAUAUUGCCUCUGCGCAAGCAUGCCAUGAAAAGCUGAAAGCAACAGUCUGACCUGGUCCAACACUCACCUCACUAAUGGUGACUUUGUGAGACCAUACUGCUGUCAGAACAAAGGAAAGUUAUGUUUUGUCAUGUUCUUUUGAUAUGGAUGCAAGGUUCUUAUAUUUAUUUUUUUUAUUUUAAGAAUGCCAUUCUAGUUGUUUCCUGGUGUCCUCUUUCGUGAGAAGACAAAAAAGAUUGGACUUUCUUUUUUACCAAAGGAACCCUUAUGAGUAACCAAGGCUUGUGAUGCAAGGUAGCGGCAUCCAUGGCUGGGGACCAGCUUCUGUGUUGGCUUCAUUACACACAGCUACACCAUCAUUUUACUAAUGCUGCUAUAUAUUGCACAUUUGCCCUGAUUUGCACAAUAACAUCUGUGGUCAAUGCAUUGUUGGGUUGGCUAAAAAGAGUCUUCGAUAGCUUUACCACUCAUCUGUAUGUUUAUUUGUGCCUUAAGAACAGGCCCUCAAUAAAAAGUAACCUAAGAUUUGUACCAUAUAUCUCUUUUUACUUCAAUAUGAGUUGAAGUCAUUGUUCAGUCUGUGGUUCCCCUAACUGCAGAUCCAUAAAUAAAUAAUGAGUGUUUUCCUGAAUUCUUUAAAGUUGAUUCUUAUGAGAUUUAAGACUCUUACAGCUGCAACCACAAACAAUAGAGUGUGUGAAGAAAUAAUGUGUGGAAAGGUAGAGGAGGUGCUGAGAAAAGGCCAGAUCUGCCAGCUGACAGCCUCCAUUAGAGACAGACUGCGCUGCAGAUUGAGGUUAACUGGUGCAGAUCGAGCUGAUACGGCACGCCGGCAGCUGCUUUCUUAUUCACAGCCCCCUCUGAGCAGCACUGCUUAACGAGGAGAGUUAGGAAUCUUUAUUACACAGUACGCUGUGAGCUUUUUUGACAUUAAUAACAUGAAAUUUGUCUGAAUUUUAUCACUCCCUCACUGUGAUGCAGAAUGCAAAGCAAAACUGGACUUUAGAGGCCCAAAGUGGUACUGGAAUAGAAAUAUACAGAUAACUACACAUUAAAGCUUAUACUCGUAUAUUGCAUCCAAAGCAACAGAAUAUUGUUAGUAUAGUCAUGCUUUAUCUAUUUUUGAGGCGUCUUUUGCUUCUUAUGCCUAAAAAAGAAGAGAAACUCUACAGAAGAGCCAGCUAAUGGUAAAUAGAAAAAAUAAUAACAAAAUAAUAAAGCAUCUAGAUCGAUCAAGGACAAAACAAAACGGAGCAGAAUAAAAAUCAACAAUAGCCGUAUAUACAUGACUGGAACUACAGCGUCCAUGGAUCAGAAUUACGGUCUUCAAUAUUCAUGGGAAAUUAGGAUCAUACAUUAAAAAUACAGUAAAAUCUUGAGAUUACAAUGUCGCCCACCAUGGUUGGAAAUAUUGGUAAGUGAUUCCACUCACAGGGGUGUCUUGCUCCCUCUUCCCGUCUCAGUGCAGAACUUUGUUGCUCUAACUAUCUAACUGAUCUAUGACUGGAGCUUCAUGCACAAUAAUCACAUUAUAUUGCCAUUUAUAUUCAAACUAUUUCUUGACACAUACGAUUUGCAAGAAAAAAAAAAGCUUUUGACCAAAAAGUAAAAUUGCGUCCAACACUCCACUACAAACUUGAAGCGCUACAGCAAUUUUAUUUGUCAGGUGAAGUCAAAUUGCUGACCUCAAUCAUGUACUUAUCAUGGUCAUGGAUUGGUGGUUAUCUACAUCUAUUGGGACAUAGUCAUUGAUACAAAUGAAAAUUCAUUAUAUUUUCACAAGGCUCUGCCACUGCUGUCGAAUGCAAAUGACAGGCUUUACACUUAAAACAUAAACAGCUAGUUCAUGUUGUUGUCUGGAAAAGGCUCUGACAGCAGCAUGGUCUCACAAAGUCAACCAUGUGUGAGGUGAGUGUUGGACCAGCUUGAGCAGGUCUCUCUUGCCUUCCCAUGGCAUUCUUGCGCAGAGGCAAUAUCAUAGUCUAUGAAGCUUUACUGAGACGUGAUCAUUGCUGGUUGAAAACUUAACCCAAUACCCCGCCUGGAUGACUUGAAACAUAGUCAGCUGUGGCAAUUUUUGCUGGUCUCAUCUGAGACUCACCAUCUGGUUAAUAAGAUAAAUAGAAACAGCUAAGGACCACUGGCUUCUCUUUGAGACGAUGGUACUCUGCUUCCAAGAGUAUUAUCUCCAGGUUCCAUAGCCUUAAGCAGUAAAUUCAACAAAGGACAGACUUCUUGAAGCAGAAAAGUCACCUGCAUUAGUACAUCAUGGGAAACCUUUAGAAUGGGAUGGUCUGAAGGUGCUGGUAUUUCCGUUCCAAACCCAGAUUUGCAGCUUGGAGGAAAUCCAGCCAAUUAAAUGUACGCUGAACUUUCCUUUGUCCAGACAAUACCUGUCAGGUCAGAUGCCUGGCUAACAAGAGCGUUGCUUGACCAAGUCAGCUUUAUAAUCUUCAUAAUCUCUAGCUAUUCCACAUCAUGAAACUGUUUGGAUUUCUUAUCACUUACAAAUCAGGACAAGAGUCUGCCACUGCUGUUAAAUGUUGAUGGCAUGCUUUUCAGUCAAACAAUACACAACAAAUUUGUGUUGUUGUCUGGAAAAGGCUCUGACAGCAGCAUGGUCUCACAAAGUCACCAUUAGUGAGGUGAGUGUUGGACCAGGUCAGACUGUUGCUUUCAGCUUUUCAUGGCAUGCUUGCGCAGUGGCAAUAUCAUAGUCCAUGAAGGUCUACUGAGACGUGAUCAUUGCUGGUUGAAAACUUAACCCAAUACCCCGCCUGGAUGACUUGAAACAUAGUCAGCUGUGGCAAUUUUUGCUGGUCUCAUUUGAGACUCAACAUCUGGUAAAUGAAAAAAUACAGAAACAGCUUAGUAUAAGUAUGAGACUAUUUUUUGUCAAACUACAACCCAUUCAGCUGAAGUGUUUUCAUAUGAGGACAACAACAAAAGAAGUGGUCAAUGCUAGGGCUUAUGGGGUGUCUUGACAACUGAAACGAACAGUGAACCAGUGAGGCAGGCUUGUGUGGGACGGCACCAGGGUACUCCAAAAGUGUAAAAGAUGACGGGUUUCAGGUGGUUUAAGUGGUCAUUGAGGCAUAACGAUGUGUUUACUUUCAAGUCGUUUCAAAGCCGUGUAAAAUGUAACACCCACAAAACAAAGGGUUUUUAGAGCUACUCUAUGGUAGGAUCAUGACAGGUAAAACUUUACUUUUCAAAGGCAAACAGGUAUAAACAACCUAUUUAACCUGAUUCUUCUCAAAGUACCCCAUCAUAAGGAACAGCCAUGAACAUUUCAUUAUUUAUUAUUUUACAUACCAACACAUCGAAACAAAGAUAAGCUUAAGAGAGACUGUUGGAAUAAAGUCACUUUUUUUCUGUUGUGGCGUGGAUCCUCUCAGCAGCUGGAAGACUUGCUCUGCCACAGUCAGUCAGCUGGUGCCAAAAUAGAUCUGUUCCCUCUUGGUGGUGGGACUCACUGUGAAUCUGGUGUACAGUCAUGGCCCAGAAAACACACACAAAGCAAGAUGCAUCAAUUUCCACUUCCAGCAAUGGACACAAAAACAUUACAUCAGGCCUGCGUCAGUGUGUCUGUGUGUGAGUAAAUUUGUGUGAGUGUCCCAAACAGUGUUUAGAAGAAUGUACCGUCUCCUCCUGUCGCCCUACUUGCGUCAAAUGGCCCCAAAAGUAAAGGGGAAAAAACAACAUAUGCAUGUUUUCUCCAUCCAGUGUUUAAAAAAGGUCCGAGGAGGACUUAAACAACUGUCGAGGGUCCAUACUGUCCGUCUCAAACACUUGCCUCUGAAAAUUCAACUGAAGAGUGAUGAAGGAAGCGCCUCAGUGAUUACAGUCAUGCGCAGAUAUUUAAAGAGAGGUGAAGUCAAACACUUGGCCAGAGCAAACGCAGAUGGCAGCUAUUAGCUCAUCUAGAGCUGGAGGCACCAUCAGGCUGAAGAUGAGGGCUCCACUUAUUUAAGUCCCACUCCAAUUGUUUUUUUUUUUUUUUCACUACAUGUUGUCUGUGUCGUUUUCAAGGACUUUUCUUCUGCAGAGCUCCAGUAGCUCAUUAGCAAUUCGCCUCAAUAUAGUUGGCUAAACAACUGGAAUGGUCUUCAAAAUAUUUGACAACUGAUGUGUAAAUUGUUUCAGAAAACCGUCCUGCAGGAGACAGAAGAAACAGCCUCACAUUUGAGGCAGCUACCACAACCAUUACAAGCUAGCCCCUUGAAAUGAAAUGAAAAUUAACUUACAUUUUGCACCUAUUUUUAUUUAAUAUUUGCAAGUUAAAUAUUAAUACUAUUAUAGAUCAAAUAUAUGUACCCCAUAAUAUCAAAACUUACUUGAAUUUCACAUCUGUGCAUGUGAUGGAGGAAUGCCCAGUGCCUCAAUAGCCCUGCAGUAAGCAGUGUGCUGUGUGCAUGUGAUUGAGGAAUGUACUUGCAUCAAAUCUGGUUGUUUUUAGCCAAGAUUAUGCUACAAUAUAUUUUCCCAAACUACCCACCAAACAUUGGAUGUCGAAGAGAUGUGCAGAUCAUGUCAAUAUUGGGUUGGUCCGUAUUGCGACGUGCAAAAUAGGUUAGAAAUUUUGACGUCCAAAUUGGACCUUUUUUAGACGUUGCUCUGAUGUUACGAAUUUGGAUGUCUUCUUAAGACCAAAUCUAGAUGUCGGCACAAUGUGCAAAAUGGAUACAAGAUUUAGACAUCAUUAUUGCACCUCUUUUAGAUGUUGAAAUGAUGUCCACAUUUGUACCUCAUCGUCAAAAAAAUGUGUUAAAUAGAUGUCAUUUCGACGUCGCAUUGAGCAGUGGGUAUAUUUAAGUUCCCUGUUGGGGGACAACCUUCGAAUUUUAUACAUUUCAGAUGUAUUCCUGUUAAUUCACGUUAAUUCCCAUGGAACGUUUCCAACUUUGAAAUAUUCCAGGAAUUUUGCAACCCCAAUUGUUGCAUGUAUUAUACUGUUAUAGUUUUUGUGCUGUUGUUUUAAUCAUGUAUCUUGCCUGUUUUUGAUCAAUUAUACUCAUCUCUGGAAGUAAAAAGAGCUUCACAUCUGCACCAAAGCUGCACAUUGCUGGGCCUGUUUUCCUCUGGAAGACCACAUGGAACACCCCUAAUGACUUCAAUAUUACAGACAGAAAAUUAUUAUAGCACUCCCAUUCAUGGUGCUUCGUCAGGUUUCAUACUCAGUGUAUUACUGUGGAAAUAAGGUGCUUUUGUGAUGAUGUGUCUGGAGUGACUGAAAGACAGGAGCUCCGCCCCCACACUUAUUUUUUCUAUUGUAAGGGGUCAUUAGCUGUGAAAACUUUAUGCAUCAUCAUCAUCAUUCACUCUCUCGGGCUUUCUCUGAGUGUUUUUUCUCCUCAUUUUCUUGACACUGACACACACAGACACAGAUUCACUCAGAGCUCUGAGCCGUGAAGCUGAAGGUAGUUUGAUCGGAGGUGAAAAAGAAGCAGAGUAGGAGAUAGAGAGAGCGCAAGAGCAGCAGAGUACGCUCCCAGUCUGCUGUGUAAGGCGCGGGUGAAAACCUAAUUACUUGUGUCUGUGGGAGACGGACGCUUUGGCUCGUCAGCAGAGAGCAGCCGGAGAUUCAGAGGUGGCAUCUACUGAGCUCUGCGGCACGGCUGCAAGGCAUUCUGGGAAAGCUGCACCUGUCAGAGGACCACUGACAGCUUGUCCUGCUCUUGUUAUACAGCCAGGCGUGAUCCCUCCCAUUAGCAGGCCAAUGACACAGUUGACUUGCUGUCUGCGGGAGGGCGAGCGGUCGGAGGAGGAGGAGGAGGCUCUUUACAAGGCGGGAAGCUCCUGUUUGGUGAAUUCAGGCUGUCACCGAGGCCUGCCUCACACUGCCAGACUGCUUUAUUCCGGACUUUAUCUGGCCCUCUUAUGUCUAUUGCUAAAAACUAUUGGUUCAUUCACACUUUUGCUGUCUUAUACUUAUUUAUCUGUUUGUGUGAAGAGGCAGCUCCUCUCUCUGCCGCUCUGUCCAUCUGCAUUGUGAAGAAACAGUUGCAGACGGAUUACAUCUCAGUGACUGCAGCAUGCUCACACAGCCAGCUUGUUCUGUUAGUUGUGGGAACUAUCAAAGAGUCCACAGAGGGUUGAGAUGUUAUCUGGAGAUUCACAGCUCUCCGCUGCACGUGUUUCCACCCUGGCUGCUGAGUUGAGGAGAAACGCCAUAGUAAGAACAGCGGGAGAUCGAUGUUACACAAAGACAGCUGAUUUCAGAGACGCUGCAGGUGACACACCGCUCCGUCUGCCGUCACAGCAGAGACCUGUGUGGGUUUUAGUGGGACUUUUAUGUGCGUGGAUGUGUAUUUUAGAGCAGCAACUCCUUCUGCAACAUUUCAUUGCAUUUCAUUUCUCUCCUCUUUUCUACAUGGUCACACACACCUGCUAAUACCAGCCCACAGCAAACAAACCAACACGUGCAGCAGGUCUUAUGACAUACUGUUGUUGUGUAAAUUGAAUUGUCGUGAGAAUUGUUUUUAGUGUAAUUUACCGCUGAUUUAAGACACGGGUCAAAACCGACCCUUAACAUAGUGAGUGCGUAGUAAAAGCUAACACAGGAGGAAGGUUAUUGUCGUAAAUUUCAGUAUCGGUAACUUUUCGGUUUAUCUCCCAGCCCUAUAAACCACCCUGUCUUUCUAUCAAACAAUCUUUAAAGGGGUGGUAGUCUUAAACACGUUUAUGCAAAUUAUUUCCACUGUGGAGUGUGGGAACACUUUGAUCCAUUUGUGAGUUUUUCCCUGGUCCUGUCCCACUCCACUCCAUAAACACAAAGACAUUCAGUCAAAGCUAAUCAAUCACAAAGAUCUACGAUAUCAGAGGGGAAAAACUGCAGCUUUCGGUGCUUUCCCUUCUCAAAACGCUCCGGUAUCAAGGGUGUCUCAGAGUUCCUGAUCUGGUUUGCUCAUCAUAUAAAAGUUUGGUUUGGCUCUGUGUGUAAUUGGCAGGAACGUCUCUGCAGCUGCUUUUACGAAGAAGGUCUCUGAUACACUUCCUCAGCACAUGAGAGCUUCUUAGAGAGACUUUAAUUUAGAUAUGAACUGUUGGCUGUUUUAUAUCUGAAAAAACUUCAGAAAAAUAAUGAAUGUUACAAAAUUUGAUUACUUUCAACUGUAACUGUGUGUUGAUUUUGGCGGCCCCUGUGGUUACAGUGAUGCCUCUUAUCUCUUUGCAGUCUCCUUUAUAUUAAUUAGUAAUCGUUUCCUUAAAAAUCUCCUGCUGUUGUCUUUUAACAAGCAAAAGUAUCACUUAUUGGAAGUAUUUGUAGUAGAAUUAGUUGAAAAAGUUCCUUCAUUGUGCCGGUCUAAACUCACCUCUGUGCAGCAGGUACAGACAUUAAAAAGCACCAUAGUCUCAGUGCUGAUGGUCCUGUUUGCUCAACAUGUAUCUGUUUGUUUUGUUUCAGUAAUUAAUUCCUCCUUCUGCCAGUGUUUUCACACACUUUCUCUGUUUCAUAAUGAAUAUUUAGACAUAUUGUAAGGCUGCCAGACUCAUGAAUAUCAUUAUUGGUAAAAAGGUGUAAAUUUACAUCACAGCCUCUGGUAGUAAACCAUAGAGAGGACAUACUAUACCUGUUUUUUAAAGAAAAAAUUAUCAUUAUAUGCCGCUGGUAACCGGCAUAUAAUGAUGACAAUGCAGGGACUCGGACUGCUACAGCGCGCAUCAACUGCGUUUAAGUUUCUCUCUCUCUCUGGACCUUGCCUGAAACCACAUAUCCACACCUCUUUGUUCAGUGGUCAUUGGCUACCUAUGGGCGGGGAUAUAGGCUGAUUGUUGACAGGCGGAGGCACACCUUCAAUUUACAUUUGAUAUGCAUUCAUGAUCUUUAACACAUUUCCUAACAGAGCUGUCAAUCAAAAUGCCACGCCUCCUUUUACAAGAAAUUCCUCAAAAAACAUGCACACGCCUCAAAACCGUGAGAAGGAAUGACUUUAAUUACAAAGAAAAAAGAUUUUUUAAGUUAUUUGAGAAGAAGUUGAGUUUUACAGUUUGGUUCCACAUGCAGUUCUGCAGACGGUCAGUAGGAGGAGCUCUACAUAUUUCAGCCUCACAGUAUGUGACCCCUUUUCUUUCGCUCUGGUUUCAGUAAAUGUUUCUUUUUCUUUCUCAGCUUAUAAAAGCCCAAAAGGUGGGACUCAAGGUCGGCACUGAAUAAGAAACGGGUGGUGUGAAGACGCGUCUACGGUGUGAAACAUUUCGAUCAGUUUAACAGCCUCACCGUCACCUCUCAACCUCUCCCGCUCCCACUAUUCUCUCAUACGACUUCACAGGCCAUAUGCUCCGGUUACACUUCCUGCGCACAGCUCACAUGUUCACAUUAACACACACUCAGCUCUUACGUAUCACCCACAGGUCUCCAGAAUACAUCAGCAGAUGGUGUGAGGAGGGAACAUGGCAGAUUCCGAUUCCUGAGCCAGGAGGCAGAGUCUGACUUCCCUCAGUUUCCA